rnacentral:rRNA from 1 species
GACGAACGCUGGCGGCGUGCCUAAUACAUGCAAGUCGACCUUAGUGGCGAAUGGGUGAGUAACAAGUGGGUAACCUGCCCAUCAGAAGGGGAGAACACUAGGAAUAAGGUGCUAAUACCGUAUACUGCUGGAUGGACCCGCGGUGCAUUAGCUAGUUGGGGAGGUAACGGCUCACCAGGGCCACGAUGCAUAGCCGACCUGAGAGGUUGAUCGGCCACAUUGGGCCUGAGACACGGCCCGAACUCCUCCGGUGGGCAGCAGUAGGGAAUCUUCGGCAAUGGACGAAGGUCUGACCGAGCAACGCCGCGUGAGUGAAGAAGGUUUUCGGAUCGUAAAACUCUGUUGUUAGAGAAGCGGUAUCUAACCAGAAAGCCACGGCUAACUACGUGCCAGCAGCCGCGGUAAUAC